GACGAACGCUGGCGGCAGGCUUAACACAUGCAAGUCGAGCGCCCCGCAAGGGGAGCGGCAGACGGGUGAGUAACGCGUGGGAAUCUACCCUGAUCUGCGGAAUAGCUCCGGGAAACUGGAAUUAAUACCGCAUGUGCCCUGAGGGGCAAAGAUUUAUCGGUUCAGGAUGAGCCCGCGUCCGAUUAGCUAGUUGGUGGGGUAAUGGCCUACCAAGGCGACGAUCGGUAGCUGGUCUAAGAGGAUGAUCAGCCACAUUGGGACUGAGACACGGCCCAAACUCCUACGGGAGGUAGCAGUGGGGAAUAUUGGACAAUGGGCGCAAGGCUGAUCCAGCCAUGCCGCGUGAGUGAUGAAGGCCCUAGGGUUGUAAAGCUCUUUCAGUGGGGACGAUAAUGACGGUACCCACAGAAGAAGCCCCGGCUAACUUCGUGCCAGCCGCCGCGGUAAUAC
rnacentral:rRNA from 1 species